UUUCAUCUUUUCCCAUGACUUUUACGACGCCAUUUGUCGAGUCAGGCACGCCACGUGGCUAGAAUCACUUGGGGAAAAAAACCGAACCGUUUUUUCUUUGGGUAUUUAAUGUGUUGCCUUCAACAAUUUCUUCUCACUUCUCUCUUUAUAAAACUCAAGCACAAAAAAAAAAAUUCUAACUUUCAUUCUUCUUCCUUAAGUUUCUUAUUGUAACUCCAUUCAUUUCAAU
rnacentral:lncRNA from 1 species